CCAGAAGGACGUCGGGGAAGUCAGCUACACUAACUCCGUAAAAAGUAUUCGCCCUAAUCGGAAGAACCACGAAGUGUCAAACUUCAGUGAUCUACGAGAAAUACUCAACAGUCGGCGUGAGCGAGAAGUCGACAACUACAACCACUUUCCUACUUUCACAAAUAGGGUAAUGAAGACAAGACUACCCGAGAAGUUCAAGCCAACAGGAAUCACCAAGUAUGAUGGCAAGCAAGACCCAAUUCAAUGGCUACAAUGCUACUCACUAGCAGUCCAAGCAGCUGGGGGCAAUAACGACACCAAAGUCAUCCACUUUCCCAUAUGCA
rnacentral:lncRNA from 1 species